rnacentral:misc_RNA from 1 species
ACAAACUUGGUCAUUUAGAGGAAGUAAAAGUCGUAACAAGGUUUCCGUAGGUGAACCUGCGGAAGGAUCAUUAAAAGUGCCAGCUUUGACUGGCUAGUGCCCCUCUACGAGAGCACUUCUAGCCCUCAGCAGUAAUGUUUUGGGUGAGCUAGAGAUGCUCUACUUAGGGCGGCCGCAGAGUCUCUCUGCUAUCCUUUGUCUAAGAGUACUAUUUUAUCCUCGGUGGGCUUGCCUAUCGAUGGACCUUAUGAACCUUCUUUUAUAAUACAAGUCUGAACAUUCAAAUAAAUUAAUUACAACUUUCAACAAUGGAUCUCUUGGCUCUGGCAUCAAUGAAGAACGCAGC